rnacentral:lncRNA from 1 species
AGCCAUGGAGAAGCAAUGGAUGAGCAAUGUUCUGUCCUCAAAAGGAAGCACUAAGGGAAGACAUGGAAGGGGAAAAGUGUUCAAAAUGAAUUAAGUCUAACUACAAUGAAUGAAAGGUCCCAACAGACAUGUCCAAGCUACCCACGAAACAUAAAGGUCAACCUACUGUCAGGAGCCCGGGGUCACAGCCCCUCAAUUACCAGGUGGGGACCCUACCAUGCACAAGGUCUUCGAAGUGAUCUACCAUCUCUUGGCUGCUGCAGCAUCUUCCCCAGGACAGGAAGUCACAUCAUUGGAGUAUGUCUGGCCCGUCACUGUCCUGACCAAUCAGCAUCAUCAGUAGACUUCUCCACUGCUCUGUGAGGAGUCACUCUACUCAAUCAUGAGAAGAGUGAGGCCCAGGGAGAUUUCUUGAGGGGCCCAAAGAAAUUUGAAAAGGGGAACCUCCAUGUUGAGCCACUAUUGAUUUAUUUUGGUUCCGGUUGGCAGAUUUUUAUAUCAAAACAAAGAAUAAAGUAAUUCUCCAGGGCUGGCCUGAGCUGAUU